rfam:Sphingobacteriales bacterium 40-81 SCNpilot_expt_1000_bf_scaffold_562, whole genome shotgun sequence.
CUUACCAGGGGAGGUCUCCCUGUUUGUUUAAGCGAAGGGAGAAGUCAGCAGAGACCAUAGUAUCAGCGGACACGAGCCAUGCCCUGCGGGAAUAACAUGGAGGACUCACGAAGCUGUGAAGGGU